CCUUUUUUCUCGACUUCAAACAAGCGAAAAAAAAAAAAGAACUUUUGUGUGGCUUGUAUGGGAUGGCACAGAGGCAGAUGUGGGUCGGAGAGUGCCCCGAUAGGAUUAGGAAGCGAAUUAGUGCCGCUAAAAAGUCGCGCAUGGUCAUAAAGAAACUAAAUGACCCGACGAGGUUUGCUGUUUGUGAUAUCCAAGGAAAGAAUCAUAAUUGCACGAUUGGGAAUCCGCAUAUGUGCUCCUGCGGCGCUACACAGCCGUGCGCUCAUACUCUUUCCGUUCUGCUCUUGUUCUUCAAAGUAAGCGAGGAAAAUCCGAUUGUAUGGCAAAGAUACAUCAAUGAGGUGGAGCUAAGUGACCUUAUCGACAAGAGAGCGGAUGAAGGAAAAUGCGUUUUUUGCCACGAGAGCACGGGUAGCGUCGGCUCAUGCGAAAAAUGCGGCGCUCACUUUCAUCAGCUGUGCUUGGAAUUGGCAUCGAAAAGCGGAAAAGGCAACUGCAACACCUGUCCAAAGUGUCGUGAAAUGGUGUCGAGGUCUGAAAGUAAAAGCGAUACCUGCUGCAGCAACUGCAGUGUGCCUUGCAAAACUGAGAACUACACAUGCCUCCUUUGCCCUGACUACUUUUUGUGCAGGCGCUGCUACACGUUGUGCAAGACUCAUCCUUCACACCCUUUUAGCUGCAGCAAGCUGGGAGGCCCUGCGCCGUCGACAUGCAGUGUGUCGCCUCAGAGUAUGGGAGAUUUACAAUACCGUGAGAUUAACCCGGAAGACUAUGAAGCACUCAUCGCUCUAGACAACGACAAGAGGAGACCUCUAGGGGAAGAGGAGCUUAGUAACCUGCCAGUCGAGUAUUUUAGCGCGUGCGCAAGAAGAAAUGAUAGUUGCCCGGUGUGUCUCCGUAGAUUCGUGGCGUCCAACAGGUGCAUUGCACUUCCUUGUGGCCACAUAAUGCACCACAAGUGCGGAUUUAAAUGGCUCUCUGAAUUUAGCGACGUGUGUCCUAUUGACAAUCGGAAAGUAUGCAAGUGGAGCAAUACACAGGACGCAAGGACUGCUGGUGAGGUCAAAGCUUCCCUGCAGGCCUCUACACGCGACGGAACGACUUUACGGUUUCCUUCGAAGAUAACAUCCGUCAAGCUUCCCGCAAUCAAGCCACGGGAAUGGAAAUGACGAUUUGGCGAGGAGGACAAGCAACUUUCUGCUCCCUUUUCACCGUCGGCACAAUUUUCAGUCCGCCUUCUCUAAAUGCCCACAAAGAAAUCUUUUUUUUUGCCCUCUCAG
rnacentral:misc_RNA from 1 species